CCUACGGGUGGCAGCAGUGGGGAAUAUUGGGCAAUGGGCGCAAGCCUGACCCAGCAACGCCGCGUGAAGGAUGAAGGUUUUCGGAUUGUAAACUUCUGUCGCGAGGGACGAAGAAUGACGGUACCUCGUAAGAAAGCCCCGGCUAACUACGUGCCAGCAGCCGCGGUAAUACGUAGGGGGCAAGCGUUGUCCGGAAUGACUGGGCGUAAAGGGAGUGUAGGCGGCUUAUCAAGUUAGAUGUGAAAUCCCGCGGCUUAACCGCGGAACUGCAUCUAAAACUGGUGAGCUGGAGUGCAGGAGAGGUGAGUGGAAUUCCGAGUGUAGCGGUGAAAUGCGUAGAUAUUAGGAGGAACACCAGUGGCGAAGGCGGCUUACUAAACUGCCACUGACAUUGAUGCUCGAAAGUGUGGGUAUCAAACAGGAUUAGAUACCCGAGUAGUC
rnacentral:rRNA from 1 species